rnacentral:siRNA from 1 species
ACCUCUCUUACCGCAGCACCAAC